CCUGUGAGAAUGCUUCCCUCAAAGUGCGGUGAAAUUCGAAAAGUCUGGAAAUAACAACAGCUUAUCUUGGCUGUAUGUGAUCCGGUAGUUGACUUGACGAAAGGCUUUCAUGAUCGCUUGUCUAUCCGUGAAGCAAAGUAGUUUGAAGAUUAGGGGACGUGGUCUAUUCCCCUGUAUCUUGGAGCUGCAAUAUAUACAAUGUGCCCUCUCUAUUUUCACAGGGCUCUGUGCAGAUAAGGCAGGGAGCCAUUUUGGAAGGUGUGUUUGGAUGAACGAGAUGGCACCAUCUUUCUCAGCACCUUCAGGCAGACCAAUCAAGCGGAGGUUGGAUCUUCUGUUUCGGUCAUCAAGCUCAGCCAGAUGGGACUGCAUCCUUUGCUGUACUUCUGAUGUCGCUCCUGUCCUGCCGUUGCACUGUCUUCAUAAUGUCAACUUUCUUCGUGAGUGUCUGCAUCGUGGGAGUGAUCACCUACAUUUUGUGUUCUGCCUCCUGCAUGUUUGAGUGGAUAAUAUCCAUAUCAGAGUGCAGAGCCCUAAUGUCAGCAGCAAGUCCUGACAACGACCUCUUCAUUUCAUCAACAGCCCCAGUGCGCAACCCCCCAUCACCUCUUUCAGCACAAGGAUUUGUCAGUGAGAGAAACAUUGAGAUUCCUCUGACUGUGGCCCAGGAGGUGGUGUAUUGCCCAAGGAUCUAUGAGAAUGCCUGGUGUCCCUAUUUGUCAAUUGAAAUUUGACGAUGGAAAAGAAAUAUGGUCUAUCUGACGUGUGUGCAACCAAGACGUCUCUACAAGGUGUACCAACAAGCUACAAGCCUUUGCCAACAGUGAUAAAAAUAUCCUUCUGCCUGAUGUUGAUGGCUGAAGUGUAAUGCUGUCUCCAGGGAUCAGCCUAUUUUGCCUCCCUGGUACAUCAACACACACAACGGCUGCAAUGCUGGCUCCAGGGAUCAACCACAGUGCGGCCUCCGUAGCGCAUCAGCAUGACAACAGUCUGGACUAAGUUGAGUAGGAUACUUCUCUGGGGUCUUCAAGUGGGCACCUUCCAUCCUUGGUGUUUCAUCGACUAGCCCACGACACCUUAACCCUUUGCAGUCCAUUUAUUAAGUGCGUGUCAGGCGCGUCAGGUCUAAUUUAUUUUCACACGCGCAGUUAAUUUUAGACGCACUGUUUAAAAGUAUUUUUUUUUCCAGUCAAACAGGUUUAAAAGGCCCUGCAUAUCAACAAAGCACUCACUAGGCAUCUCCAGCCCCGCCCCAUCCUUUCGUUCGCUAUAGCUUUCACAUAUGCUAAGAAAUAUAUAAUAAUAAUAAUAGUCGUACAUACCGAUCAAUCAUCUCCUGAUCACUCAUUUUAUCACCAAACACCUCAAUAAUGCGAUCCAAGUCAUUAUUUUAUUACUAUAACAUCUGAAUAAAGCUCUGCAAAUGUCCGUGAUAUUCUCUGAGCGCUGAUGCAGUCAUAGCCAGCUUGUUUCCUUAUGGCCUCCGUUAUCAGAUGCCAGGGGCAAGUAUGACUAUUCAUGAGAUACGCCCUUUUUAUUUAUUUAUUUUUCGGCUUGUCUUGGCUCCUGUCGCUCCCACUCGGCCAUUGAAUGGUUUUCUUGGCUUCUUCCAGAGAAAAAAUGACUAGAAACCAGUUUUUUGCGUCUUUUUGAUGAUGUCGGACAGGGUCCGACAUUGGACCGGAUAGGAAUAACUGCAAUGUUGGACCAGGUCCGACAUAGGACCGCAAAGGGUUAAGAGGACUUGACAGUGAUUCUGGCGUCCCAGCAUCACCCCCUCCAUUCUCCACUCAGCUAAGCCCAGCUUACUUAACUUCUUUACAUCGAUGUUUUUCUACUGUGCUUGAGGUCCCCAACCAGAAUAUUUUUGUCUCAACCAGAGCCAGUUGCUGCUCCUCUCUGCUGCUUCAGAUAAGUUCUUCACGAUGCGUCGCAACUCUUGACCAUUGUAUCCGAUGUCUCUCGAGAAACCGGGUUGUGGAGUGUGCCACAAAUCCUCGACAACCCACCUCCACUGGGUAAACCUGGACUCUCCAUCCUCGCUGUUCCACUUCAGCAGCUAGUUAAGCGUACUAAAGUUUCUUUCUUUCAUACGCUUCAUCCACAGCAUCCUCCCAUGGCACUAUUAUCUACCAGGUGAACAGGUCGUGCUGAUCCAGACCACAAGACAAUAUCAGGUCAAAGGUUAGUGGUGGCAAUCUCAGGUGGGAAAAUAAGCUGUUGUCCAACACCAGCAUCCAAUGUCAGCAUUUUCCAGUCUCCAGCAGCUUCCAGUUGUCCUAGACGAGUUUUGGUUUUAAUGCCUUUUCUUGGUGGUUGCUCCCCACAAUUCUGUAUUUUGCUGGCAUUGGUGGCAACCUGUUGGUCAUGCUACGCUUGUCUUCCAAUGCUAAGGCCAAACAUCACAGCACCUGGUCAUGACGCCAAGUAAUCUGUCCUUGGCUAAGACCCACCUUACAUCCUGUCAAAACGUGUCUUAAUGUAGCUGGCGAUGAACACAAAGGACACCACGGAUCCUCUCCUACCCAUAGAUUAAGGUUCUCUGGUGAUGGGAGAACAUCAUAUGUUGACCUGAUGAGGAAACUCAUCCUGCUCUGUUCCAUUGUCCAUGGAUCUCGCCAGCCGAUCUUGCAUCGCGUCCAUUCUCCCUGCUCGGCCUGGGAAAUAGUUAUCUCAGCUAACAUAUUCUUUUUGUUGUUUAGAUUCACGUAUCAUUUUCUGUUAGUCAUUACAUACUAGUGAUUUUUUUCAGCUUAAUGAUAGCUUAUAGUUUAUGGAUUUUCUAAAUGUUUACUAGUAAACUAAAUGGGGACGUUUACACGUGUAAAGGUGGCAGCCAGUUACAGUGUAAGCCAAUUAGUUACUUUUUGCAGGAAAUUAUAGGGUCUUCCAAUGAACAAAUAACUGACAAAAAGACAGUAGUCCUUAUUAAUGCAAUUUUAUCAAUUUUUUCAAAUAAAACACAAAGCCAAAAGAUCACUCUGAGGGUAUUCUUAUAGAGGAACUCUUACAGCUGACACGUGGCUGCUUAACGUAACUGUAGAGCUAACAAAAUUAUUUCAAUUUAAUUUCAUUACCUGUUCUGCACUUACAUAGUUACAUGCUGUAGGUGUCAAACAUGCAGUUUCUGAAUAAACGCAUGUAACAGCAAGCAUGUGCAGGCCAUACAUAAUAUCUGGUACUACAAUAGGUUCAAGAAAGUUCUCAAUGUUCAUGAGUUUUUUGCAUGAAAUCUGUUACACCUACACUUCCUGGGUCAUUUCACCUUGAUCAAAAGCAUGAUACUGGCUAAAAACAUGUCAGUCAAUAGGGGACGUUGCUAGUUGGUUAAUGACAGGAUCGAAGCUGUUGAAAUGGUUGGGGAUAAUUUCAGCCUCCAGGUGCAGUGCAACACAGUGUAGUAUCAGAUAUCAUGUUUUAAAAUAACAAUACAAGUUUACUAUAAUGUAUGUUACUUUUAAAACAGCACAUUUGAGAUCUAUAAAGGAACGGAAGUGCACAACAGGUCAAAUUAAUGGUAUUAUUAUGCUAGCUAUAAUCACUUUAAAGCUCAGAUGCUAGUUCAAAACUGGGUUGCUCUGCAAAAACACACCAAGUGUGCUGCUGCGUUUGGUGCUACCUCUAUUCUUCUUCUCCCCAUUGACUAGACAAGUGCUUUGUUAGGCAGACACACAUGCAAGCAACAAACGUGUUACUGCCUGCCUACCUGGUGCUGUAUUGUAAAUAUUAAUGUGAAACUAAAAUCUACACUUUUCUUUUCAAAAACUGCAAAACCUGCAUCUGUUUUGGCGCACCCCCAGUAUAAAGCUACAAAAAAAAUCAUAUUUAUAUCUGAACGCUGAGAACGUUAACCAUGUCAAAAUGUCAUUGUUCUAAGAAGAAGGUAUGAAAUGUUGCCAACUUUCACAGUCUCGUAAAAACCUCUCAGAAAUACCAUCUGUUCAUGCUGCAUGAUAGCAGACCUAGAUUGUAGAUUGUAAAAUAAUCCUAUUAAAAAAGGCCCACAUUAAAUAUUAUACUGUGUUUUCAACUGAUGCAGCCCACUAUCUCCAUUUAAAAAAUGUGUUUUAAAGCUCUUUUACAGCUAGAUUGAACUGUGGCGGUGUGCCGUAACAGUGUUUUUUUUACUGAUCUAUUUAAAUACUGUAUAUGAAUUGCUUAAUUACAACUUUAAAUGUUACAUAUGCAUUUCAUUUCUAAUUUGACUUUUAAAAAAGCAAAUUCAGAGAAAUUACACAAAGAGGUGAGACUGUUUGCCCUCUGUUGCCAUCUGCCAAUUGAACUGUGCCAGAAUGCUGCCCAUACAAUCCUCUCAUUAAAAGUGCUGUUUUAUUAAACAGUAAUUGUCCAAAGUACAGUCCAUUAAAGAGUAAA